ACGAAGGGGGCUAGCGUUGUUCGGAAUCACUGGGCGUAAAGCGUACGUAGGCGGACCGUUAAGUCGGAGGUGAAAUCCUGGGGCUCAACCCCAGAACUGCCUUCGAUACUGGCGGUCUCGAGUCCGGAAGAGGUGAGUGGAACUGCCAGUGUAGAGGUGAAAUUCGUAGAUAUUGGCAAGAACACCAGUGGCGAAGGCGGCUCACUGGUCCGGUACUGACGCUGAGGUACGAAAGCGUGGGGAGCAAACAG
rnacentral:rRNA from 1 species